GACGUAGGUGGCGAACGUUAUCCGGAAUUAUUGGGCGUAAAAGGUGCGUAGAUGGCCUGAUAAGUUAGCAGUGGGAAAUCGAGGCUCAACCUCGUGGAAGCUGGUAAUACUGUCAGGCUCGAGUGCAGGAGAGGUUAACGGAACUCCAUGUGGAGCGGUAAAAUGUGUAGAUAUAUGGAAGAACACCAAUAACGGCGAAGGCAGUUAACUAUUCUGUUACUGACAUUGAGGCACGAAAGCGUGGGGAGCAAAACGG
rnacentral:rRNA from 1 species